GGUUGACCUCGGAUCAGGUAGGGAUACCCGCUGAACUUAAGCAUAUCAAUAAACGGAGGAA
rnacentral:rRNA from 1 species